GAUUCAAUAAUAAACCGAUAUUGACAAUGACUGAGAUAUAUUCUAAGACUUUCAUACGAUGUGAUUUUGAAACAUUCUGAAUUCCUGACGACUUGAGCAGUCAAAUGUCAUGGACAGGUAUCAUCAACGCAUACUAUCUCCAAUCUUGUAGGACAUGACCUAGGUUGCUUAUAGCAAAAACAUUGUUUGAUUGCGAGAUAAGACAUUGUUUGUUGUAUGACUUUUCUGUUCUUAAAAAUACUCCUCAAUCUAUAGUGUACGUACAUUGGUACAAACCAUGUUGACACGUACUUCUUGGAGUCACAGCUGGUGUACGGUCACCCGAGUGAGAAAUGUUAUCUUUGUUAGGUACACGCUGACUUGUGUACGUACACGCUGCCAACAGCCGACUGAAUUCCCCUGGACGUUGAACAGUCAGUUGAGUGAAAAUGAAGUCCUCCUCAACAUUCCCUAUUCCAUAUUCUUCUACAAUUACAUCGUUCCACUUGUUGUAAUCAUAAUCUUCGCCACUACUUUCACUACCAUCGAUAGUAGGAUCGAGGGUACUUCUCCCAUAGAUCCAUAGUCACCCUGAUAAUCAUCAUACCCAUCACCAUUUUCGUUGUCCCCCUCCUAUUCAUCUUCAUCUGUUUUACCGUCUUCAACGUCGUCUUGCUCAUCUAGCGCCUCAUUAUUUUCAUCAACAUUUGAAACACUAUCACACACAUGGUCACUUUCAGCAUCGUCACCAUGAGUCCUAGAGACAUUAUUUCCGAGUGUCUUGACGGUUGUAAUGAAAGAGACAAACAAGUUAAGAAAAAGAUACCCACCACGAAUCAAAAAGAACGUAUCUAACCCCACUUGACUGUCAAUGUAGACAGGAGGGCGUUUAGUAUCUAUCAUCACUGACAUCUCUCCCGGCAUCCAGUAACUAAUUAUGGGAUUGAUCUCUGCGGACUUCAAACUGAAAGCCUCGCUUAGUGUACGUCAUAUUUUCCUUAACACGUACACAUCGACCAAACAUGUCUUCCUCUGGUUCAAAUUUCCAUUCUUCUUCUUUGCAUCUCCACUCACCGACCAUAGUAAAUACGGGAAUAUCCAUUACCCAACUGCAUCAUAAAUUCAGGAGAAACCCAUUAAAUGCAACUGAAAACAUGAUUAUAUCUACAAAAACAAAUAGAAUUUCGAUAUACACACUUAUAAACAUAAAUAUCUACUCAUUUAGCAUUUUCAACCAACAAAAU
rnacentral:sRNA from 1 species